GUGCCAGCAGCCGCGGUAAGACGAACCGGACAAACGUUAUUCGGAAUUACUGGGCUUAAAGGGUACGUAGGCGGUCCGGUAAGUGGGGUGUGAAAUCCCUCGGCUCAACCGAGGAACUGCGCCCCAUACUGCCGGACUUGAGGGAGACAGAGGUCAGCGGAACUGAUGGUGGAGCGGUGAAAUGCGUUGAUAUCAUCAGGAACACCGGUGGCGAAAGCGGCUGACUGGGUCUCUUCUGACGCUGAGGUACGAAAGCUAGGGGAGCGAACGGGAUUAGAAACCCGUGUAGUCC
rnacentral:rRNA from 1 species